GACGAACGCUGGCGGCGUGCUUAACACAUGCAAGUCGAACGGAAAGGCCCUGCUUUUGUGGGGUGCUCGAGUGGCGAACGGGUGAGUAUCACGCGAGUAACCUGCCCUUGACUUUGGGAUAACAUCAGGAAACUGGGGCGAAUACCGGAUAUGAGAUCUUGCUGCAUGGUGGGGGUUGGAAAGUUUCGGCGGUUGUGGCUGGACUCGCGGCAUAUCAGCUGGUUGGGGGGGUAGUUGCUGACCACGGCUUUGACGGGUAGCCGGCCUGGGAGCGGGACCGGCCACCUGGGGCCUGCGAUACGGCCCAGACUCCUACGGGACGCAGUAGGCGGGAAUAUUGCGGAAUGGGCGGACGCCUGAUGCAGCAACGCCGCGUGCGUGAUGACGGCCUUCGAGUUGUGAACCGCUUUCGCAUGUGAUGAAGCGUGAGUGACGGUAACGGGUAAAGAAGCCCCGGCUAACUACGUG
rnacentral:rRNA from 1 species